CCUACGGGAGGCAGCAGUGGGGAAUCUUGCGCAAUGGGCGAAAGCCUGACGCAGCCAUGCCGCGUGAAUGAUGAAGGUCUUAGGAUUGUAAAAUUCUUUCACCGGGGACGAUAAUGACGGUACCCGGAGAAGAAGCCCCGGCUAACUUCGUGCCAGCAGCCGCGGUAAUACGAAGGGGGCUAGCGUUGCUCGGAAUUACUGGGCGUAAAGGGAGCGUAGGCGGACAUUUAAGUCAGGGGUGAAAUCCCGGGGCUCAACCUCGGAAUUGCCUUUGAUACUGGGUGUCUUGAGUGUGAGAGAGGUAUGUGGAACUCUGAGUGUAGAGGUGAAAUUCGUAGAUAUUCGGAAGAACACCAGUGGCGAAGGCGACAUACUGGCUCAUUACUGACGCUGAGGCUCGAAAGCGUGGGGAGCAAACAGGAUUAGAUACCCUGGUAGUCCACGCCGUAAACGAUGAUUGCUAGUUGUCGGGAUGCAUGCAUUUCGGUGACGCAGCUAACGCAUUAAGCAAUCCGCCUGGGGAGUACGGUCGCAAGAUUAAAACUCAAAGGAAUUGACGG
rnacentral:rRNA from 1 species